AACAACAACAUCACAAUCCAUGCAUGCAAACCGAUAAUAACGCAAUAGCAAUAAUCAUAUAUUCAUGCAAUCUAACAACCUAGCAAUCAACCUCGACUAUAGAUUCAAGAAUACCUAUCUAUCCAUAACCUAGCAAUAUUAUCUAAGGGUUCGUAUUCGCUAACUAACCAAGUAACCUUACCAUUAGCAUGCUACUAUGAUUCCCAAGCAAUAACUAAGCAUGCUAUCAACUCAAUCAACCAAACCACGACAAUUAACUAAUCAAACUGUUACUCAGUUAGACCCGGCCCCCUGCCAUUAUCCAACUUCCAUGUAACGGAAACCUGCAUGCAAACAAGUCAGCAAUCAAUUGCCGUGACUCACAGUGUUUGGUUCGUUGUGGCUUUAACCCUUGCCCGAAUCCUCGACCAAAACCCUUUCUUGAACUCCUCAAGUAGCCUUCUGUCCCAACUGACCUCAAAGGCGUGCCUAACCCUGAAUGGCCUCCCUUGAACAACUCUCAACUCAAACAGAAACUUCUCUAGGCGACGACUCAAAACUGGUGUAGUAAUUGAUCUCAAAAGCUCCC
rnacentral:lncRNA from 1 species